rnacentral:misc_RNA from 1 species
CAUGAGUGGUGUUUGGUUUGAUACGGGUGGUCGGCUCCCUGCUUGAGCAGGCACGGCCACGUGUGCAUUCCUUUUCAGUUGUCCGGCAAGACUUGUAUUGUCUUGAUCGUAUAAGUGGGUUUCUUGUGUUGCAUACCUGAUCAAUGGCAUCGUUUUGAUCAAAAGUGUAUCUUUUUCGUCUGGCAAUGCACCCGCAUUGUCGGAUGAACCGGGCAGCAUCCUCUUUGAUCCAUAAAGUUGACGUGCAUUCGUUGAUUGUUUGGCCCGUUGAGGAUGGCUUGGUCUCUUGGAUAUGGAAGCCAAAGUGGGCAUGGGUUCGUAAGAUCCCUUUACUGCCCUCAUUGAGCGUUCUCGCUUCUCUUAUACGACUGCCUUUCACGUAUGGCACGUCCCAGCGUGUUUGGCUACGUCGAAGAGGAAUGCUACCUGGUUGAUCCUGCC